CAAAACAGAGAAUUCCCAAUGAAUUAAUGUUCAAUUGAAAGGCAGCAAACAGUUUUUCAUUGUGUUUGUUUACGUCUGAUAGUGACUAACUGCUAAAAUCCUUUGAUACUACCUAUUGGUUUGAUACAUAACAAAACAUUUGAAUCUACAAAAGAGUUAGCCAAAUCCAUUUAACAAUUGUGCAAAUGCUUUAGUAGUAGUCUGGUGUCUCAAAACAUUCAAUGGUCUGACGGAAGAAUAUACAUAUUUAUGUAUUGUUUUAAUUUUUAUCAAGAGUGGAAGUCGAUUCGGUAUUGAAUAACUCACAGCCCACGCAUAAAUAAUACAUCGUUCUUGUCACUGACAAUCCUAACAGACAGUUUUUUGUUUUUUUUACAAGAUGGAUGAACAAUAACUGGAAUUAGAAGUAUUGACCACUUUUUCACUUACAGUGGAAACCCAUUUAUCCAAACCCGCCGUCAAAUCAAUCUCUAUCCACAUGAUUGAAGAAGCCGGAGAGGCCUCGUCACGUUUUUGUUAAAAUAAAAUAAAAAAUAAAAAAAUGUAUCCUAUUUUAAAAGAUUAGAAAUUGCUGUGUCGUAUUGUUUGUAUGUUGGCUUCCAUCAAAAAGGCUGUUUUUUUUAUUACAUAUAGUUUUAUUAGCUAUUUUUAUGUAUAAAUUUUUUGCAAGACAAGUGUCUGAACUUAGUUAAUAUAAGACUAGUACUUCAACUGUAAUUUGAUAUAUAAAUACUAGUGUACACUUUCGUGU